AGCGAACGCUGGCGGCAGGCUUAACACAUGCAAGUCGAGCGGGCACUUUCGGGUGUCAGCGGCGGACGGGUGAGUAACGCGUGGGAACGUGCCCUAUGGUUCGGAAUCACUCAGGGAAACUUGAGCUAAUACCGGAUAUGCCCUUUUGGGGAAUGGCUUGCUGCCGGAGGAUCGGCCCGCGUCUGAUUAGCUAGUUGGUGAGGUAACGGCUCACCAAGGCGACGAUCAGUAGCUGGUCUGAGAGGAUGACCAGCCACACUGGGACUGAGACACGGCCCAGACUCCUACGGGAGGCAGCAGUGGGGAAUAUUGGACAAUGGGCGCAGGCCUGAUCCAGCCAUGCCGCGUGAGUGAUGAAGGCCUUAGGGUUGUAAAGCUCUUUUAUCCGGGACGAUAAUGACGGUACCGGAGGAAUAAGCCCCGGCUAACUUCGUG
rnacentral:rRNA from 1 species